AGUGCGGCAUGUUGUAGCCUAAGCAAUUAUACAGCGAAACUGCGAAUGGCUCAUUAUAUAAGUUAUCGUUUAUUUGAUAGUGCCUUACUACUUGGAUAACCGUGGUAAUUCUAGAGCUAAUACAUGCUGAAAGCCCCGACUUACGGAGGGGCGUAUUUAUUAGAUUAAAAACCAAUGCCCUUCGGGGCUCUUUGGUGAUUCAUGAUAACUUCUCGAAUCGCACGGCCUUGCGCCGGCGAUGGUUCAUUCAAAUUUCUUCCCUAUCAACUUUCGAUGUUUGGGUAGUGGCCAAACAUGGUGGCAACGGGUAACGGAGGGUUAGGGCUCGACCCCGGAGAAGGAGCCUGAGAAACGGCUCCUACAUCCAAGGAAGGCAGCAGGCGCGCAAAUUACCCAAUCUCAACUCGAGGAGGUAGUGACAAUAAAUACCGAUGCAGGGCUCUUUAGGGUCUUGCAAUUGGAAUGAGUACAAUUUAAAUCCCUUAACGAGGAACAAUUGGAGGGCAAGUCUGGUGCCAGCAGCCGCGGUAACUCCAGCUCCAAUAGCGUAUAUUAAAGUUGUUGUGGUUAAAAAGCUCGUAGUUGAACCUUGGGCCUGGCCGGCUGGUCCGCCUAACAGCGUGCACUGGUGCGGCCGGGUCUUCCCACCGCGGAGCCGCAUGUCCUUCACUGGGCGUGUCGGGGAAGCGGUACUUUUACUGUGAAAAAAUUAGAGUGCUCUAAGCAGGCCUAUGCUCGAAUACAUUAGCAUGGAAUAAUAGAAUAGGACAGUCGUUCUAUUUUGUUGGUUUCUAGGACGUCUGUAAUGAUUAACAGAAACAAUCGGGGGCGUCAGUAUUGCAUCGUCAGAGGUGAAAUUCUUAGAUCGAUGCAAGACUAACUACUGCGAAAGCAUUCGCCAAGGGUGUUUUCAUUAAUCAGGAACGAAAGUUAGGGGAUCGAAGACGAUCAGAUACCGUCGUAGUCUUAACCAUAAACUAUGCCGACUAGGGAUCGGGCGGUGUAAUUUUGACCCGCUCGGCACUUACGAGAAAUCUUAAGUGCUUGGGCUCCAGGGGAGUAUGGUCGCAAGGCUGAAACUUAAAGAAAUGACGAAGGGCACCACCAAGGGUGAACCUGCGGCCUAGUUGACUCACACGGGAAACUCACGAGGUAGGAAUAUGUAGAUGACGGAUGGAGCCUUCAGAAUACAUAUGGGCAUGCGCUCUUAAUACCGGUAUUGAAAAUGGGCAG
rnacentral:rRNA from 1 species